rnacentral:lncRNA from 1 species
CAAAUACUUUCUAGGAGUUGUAAAGUAGUUUUCUGUAUAUAAAAGGAAAAGGAAGUAGUUGUUCUGUGUGCUAGCAUAUCUACUAUUACAAGUUACAAUAAAGUGCUAUUUCUCUGCUAUGUUCUUGCCAAUCAUACUUUGUUGUUCUAAGGAAUGAAAGAAAAAUCUAAAUUGAGUUCUUUUUCAAUAUAACAGAUACAUUCCACAUUUCAAAUAUUGUAAUGAAUAAUUCAGAGGCACUGAAAUCAUGUAGGUAUUCACUAGAAGGCAUAAAAACUAUAAUCUACAGCUACCGCUUUUAUAUUUUUUUCCUUAAAGUACUAUAAUAUGAUUCUUCACAAUGUAUCAAGUAUACAACUUGAAUUAAAUAAAGCAACUUCAAUUAUUUAAGUUGGUUUUGUAGUUAAAAAUUUAAGAAAAUAUGCAAUAAGAUUCUUUCACUUUAAAAUUUGUUAACAUCAUUACCAAAUACUUACUGCUGCAUUAAAUAUUGGUUUCUAUUAACUGGAUUUUCAUUUCUCCUUAUGUUGUGAUUGAAUUGUUACUUUUAAAAAAGCAGUAAUUUAAAAAUAAAAGAAAGUGACUAUUGUAUAAUUUCAGAAAAUAUAAGAAAUUAUAUAAUCCUCAUUGAUCUGUUGAUUAAAAUUGAAAUCUCAUAUAUCCCCUAUGAAAAUAAUACUGAAAUGAAUCACAUAU